UGUAUCCUUGAAAGUGGCGGACGGGUGAGUAAGACGUAGGUGACCUGCCUUGAAGUGGGGGAUAACCAUUGGAAACGAUGGCUAAUACCGCAUAAGCUGGUGACGAUGGGAAUCGUUAACAGGAAAGCUUUAGUGCUUUGAGAGGGGCCUACGGCCGAUUAGCUAGUUGGUGAGGUAAAGGCUCACCAAGGCGAUGAUCGGUAGCUGGUCUGAGAGGACGAUCAGCCACACGGGAACUGAGACACGGUCCCGACUCCUACGGGGGGCAGCAGUGAGGAAUAUUCGGCAAUGGGGGCAACCCUGACCGAGCAACGCCGCGUGGAGGAUGACGGUUUUCGGAUUGUAAACUCCUUUUCUCAGGGAAGAGUGAGGACGGUACCUGGGGAAUAAGUCACGGCUAACUACGUGCCAGCAGCCGCGGUAAUACGUAGGUGGCAAGCGUUAUCCGGAAUUACUGGGCGUAAAGCGCACGCAGGUGGCUGCUUAAGUCUGACGUGAAAGCUCCUGGCUUAACUGGGAGAGGUCGUUGGAGACUGGGCGGCUUGAGGCGAGGAGAGGGGUGUAGAAUUCCCGGUGUAGUGGUGGAAUGCGUAGAUAUCGGGAGGAAUACCAGUGGCGAAAGCGGCACCCUGGCCUUGGCCUGACGCUCAGGUGCGAAAGCGUGGGGAGCGAACGGGAUUAGAUACCCCGGUAGUCCACGCGGUAAACGAUGAAUACUAGGUGUAGGUGGUCUCAAAACUAUCUGUACCGUAGCUAACGCGAUAAGUAUUCCGCCUGGGGAGUACGACCGCAAGGUAAAACUCAAAGAA
rnacentral:rRNA from 1 species